CCUACGGGUGGCUGCAGUGGGGAAUUUUCCGCAAUGGGCGAAAGCCUGACGGAGCAAGACCGCGUGAGGGAGGAAGGCUCUUGGGUUGUAAACCUCUUUUCUGAGGGAAGAAAAAAAUGACGGUACCUCAGGAAGAAGCAUCGGCUAACUCCGUGCCAGCAGCCGCGGUAAUACGGAGGAUGCAAGCGUUAUCCGGACUUAUUGGGCGUAAAGCGUCCGCAGGUGGCAUCUCGUGUCUGCUGUUAAAGCCCGCAGCUUAACUGCGGUCAGGCGGU
rnacentral:rRNA from 1 species